CAGUGACAGCUUCUGUUACAUAUGAUCACAAAGCAAUUGUUGUUAAUGGGCAGAGAAAGAUUAUGUUUUCUGGUUCUAUAUACUACCCCAGAAGCACACCUCAGAUAUGGCCAGAGCUUAUUCAAAAAGUUAAAGAGGGAGGGUUGGAUGUUAUUCAAACCUAUGUGUUUUGGAAUGGCCAUGAACCUUCUCCAGGAAAAUAUUAUUUCGAGGAUAGGUACAAACUUAGUUAAGUUCAUCAAGGUAGUGCAGCAAGCUAGACUUUAUGUUAAUCUCCGAAAUGGUC